GAUCCAUGGUGAGAGCAUUCUCUGCGGUAGUCCUUGAAACGCUCCCUUUCUUCGCAAAAAGAUUCAUCAGUGAGCUGUUUGAAAGAGGAGAUCUUGUUCCUCAAUGC